rnacentral:sRNA from 1 species
GAGCUGGGCAUCCAAGAAGAAGCAGCCUCAUUUGUUUUCUGGUGUCAUCGUAGGUGGCCACCUAUGGCUUUUGGGCUUCUCACCUGGGGCGGGUGGGUUCUGCACCACCCUCCCACCCUCCUUCCUCCGUGUGGACGAUAGAGCCACAUCCAGCACCACGGACAGCUCCCGGGCGAUCCCAUGGGAGUAGAAGAGGUGUGAGCAGGUUGCCCAGCUGGUUAGCGGAAAUGCCAAGAUCCAGGCUCCUGAAUUUCAGCCUGGCCCUUUCUAUCUGUCUGAUACCUCCUUUACGAGUCUCUCUGCCUGGGUUGUGUGGAGCGGACCUGCUGCUGGUUGGGGGAGUUUGCAGGUUGCCCCUAUGCAAAAAAGGACAGGAUGCAUGACUGGCAUGUAAGGUGUUCAGGAAAACCAGGAAAAGACCAAAAAGAAGAAUGUACUUCAUCUGGUUGGGCUGGAUUCCCUCUGAUAAGCCUUCCCAGUUGACUGAAAGAUGAGGCUAGGCUCUAGCAAGUUGAAGUCAAACCAGCUCCUUCAAGAAGCUUUGAGCAGAAUGAAGUGGGGAGGACCCAGCUUCCAGCCUAGGAAGCCCACUGUACCUGGAGCCAUCUGGGAUAAGACUUUGACCCAUGACUCCCAUAUCCACAACCUGUCCAUCCUAGCCCAUCCCAGUUUAUCCUGUAUCAUUUGAGCUGGGAUUCCCACAUCCUCUGAGAUGGAAGUCCCAUCUCAAAUCUUCAAUAAAGACUCUUGAAUAUUGAGUCACA